UACGUAGGGUGCGAGCGUUGUCCGGAAUUAUUGGGCGUAAAGGGCUCGUAGGCGGUUUGUCGCGUCGGGAGUGAAAACCCAGGGCUUAACUCUGGGCUUGCUUUCGAUACGGGCAGACUAGAGGUAUGCAGGGGAGAACGGAAUUCCUGGUGUAGCGGUGAAAUGCGCAGAUAUCAGGAGGAACACCGGUGGCGAAGGCGGUUCUCUGGGCAUUAACUGACGCUGAGGAGCGAAAGCAUGGGGAGCGAACAGG
rnacentral:rRNA from 1 species